rnacentral:rRNA from 1 species
UACGUAGGUGGCGAGCGUUGUUCGGAAUCACUGGGCAUAAAGCGCGCGUAGGCGGUUUGUCGCGUCGAAUGUGAAAACCCGGGGCUCAACCCCGGGCCUGCAUUCGAUACGGGCAGACUAGAGUUCGGUAGGGGAGUCUGGAAUUCCUGGUGUAGCGGUGAAAUGCGCAGAUAUCAGGAGGAACACCGGUGGCGAAGGCGGGACUCUGGGCCGAUACUGACGCUGAGGAGCGAAAGCGUGGGGAGCAAACAGG